rnacentral:rRNA from 1 species
AGCUCCAAUAGCGUAUAGUGAAGUUGUUGCAGUUAAAAAGCUCAUAGUUGGGUUUCUGCUGAGGAUGACCGGUCCACCCUCUGGGUGAGUAUCUGGCUCAGCCUUGGCAUCUUCCUGAAGAGCGUAUCUGCACUUGACUGUGUGGUGCGGUAUUUAGGACAUUUACUUUGAAGAAAUUAGAGUGUUUCAAGCAAGCGCACGCCUUGAAUACAUUAGCAUGGAAUAAUAAGACAGGACCUCGGUUCUAUUUUGUUGGUUUCUAGAGCUGAGGUAAUGAUUGAUAGGGAUAGUUGGGGGCAUUCGUAUUUUACUGUCAGAGGUGAAAUUCUUGGAUUUGCUAAAGACGGACUACUGCGAAAGCAUUUGCCAAGGAUGUUUUCA